rnacentral:rRNA from 1 species
UACGUAGGGUGCGAGCGUUGUCCGGAAUUAUUGGGCGUAAAGGGCGCGUAGGCGGCCUGGCAAGUGGAAGGUGAAAUCCCUCGGCUUAACCGAGGAACUGCCCUCCAAACUGCUUGGCUUGAGUCCGGGAGAGGUGAGUGGAACUCCCAGUGUAGCGGUGAAAUGCGUAGAUAUUGGGAGGAACACCAGUGGCGAAGGCGGCUCACUGGACCGGAACUGACGCUGAGGCGCGAAAGCGUGGGGAGCAAACGGG